rnacentral:rRNA from 1 species
ACUCCUACGGGAGGCAGCAGUGGGGAAUCUUGCGCAAUGGGCGAAAGCCUGACGCAGCCAUGCCGCGUGAAUGAUGAAGGUCUUAGGAUUGUAAAAUUCUUUCACCGGGGACGAUAAUGACGGUACCCGGAGAAGAAGCCCCGGCUAACUUCGUGCCAGCAGCCGCGGUAAUACGAAGGGGGCUAGCGUUGCUCGGAAUUACUGGGCGUAAAGGGAGCGUAGGCGGACAUUUAAGUCAGGGGUGAAAUCCCGGGGCUCAACCUCGGAAUUGCCUUUGAUACUGGGUGUCUUGAGUAUGAGAGAGGUGUGUGGAACUCCGAGUGUAGAGGUGAAAUUCGUAGAUAUUCGGAAGAACACCAGUGGCGAAGGCGACACACUGGCUCAUUACUGACGCUGAGGCACGAAAGCGUGGGGAGCAAACAGGAUUAGAAACCCUGGUAGUCC